rnacentral:lncRNA from 1 species
CGCCCACAGGGUUUUCUGGGACUGCCCCAAAGUCAAAAGGUUAUUGGAGCCUGUGGUUCCGAAACGAGCCCGCUUCGGGGGAGGAGCUGAGACUCUGAAAGGCGCUCCGGUGGAUACCGGACACCAUCACGUGCCUCACGCGGAUGGGAAAAUGAAGACCCAGAGAAGCCUUCAGCCAAUCAAGCCAUCCCAUAGGAGACUCAAGACAAUAUGAGCAGCAGAGAAGGAACAGAUAACAACUGCGAUAGUUACAUUCUAGGUACAUAAGAGGCAACAUUCACUGGCUCAUCAAAGCAACCCAAGAAGAUAGCAGCACUAUUAACCCCAUUGUAGAGAGGAAGAAACUGA